GCUGUAAUGGUGUAGGGGUUAACAUGGAGUCUUCCCAUGGCUCCGCGCGGGGUUCGAGUCCCCGUUACAGCA
rnacentral:tRNA from 6 species